GAGUGAGGGGCGUGUCAAUGCGAGGUGUUCUCAUGUGUAAGGGGUGUGGUCAGAGAGUGAAGGGUGUGGUCAGGCUUACCCGUGUGAUUGGCUGUGUGUGAUGAUUUGUGUUUAGAAUGUAAGGAGGUGUGGUCAGGGAGUGAGGGGCGUGUCAAUGUGAGGUGAUGUCAUUUGUAAAAGGGUGUGGUCAGAGUGAGGGGUGUAGUCAGGCUUACCCGUGUGAUUGGCUGUGUGUGAUGAUUUGUGUUUAGAGUGUAAGGAGGUGUGGUCAGAGAGUGAGGGGCGUUGUUUCAUUUGAAAAGGGGUGUGGUCAGAGAGUGAGGGGUGUGGUCAGGCUUACCCGUGUGAUUGGCUGUGUGUGAUGAUUUGUGUUUAGAGUGUAAGGAGGUGUGGUCAGAAAGUGAGGGGCGUGUCAAUGUGAGGUGUGGUCAUGUGUAAGGGGGUGUGGUCAGAGAGUGAGGGGUGUGGUCAUGCUCACCUGUGUGAUCGUCUGUGUGUGAUGAUUAGUGUUUAGAGUGUAAGGGGGUGUGGUCAGAGAGUGAGGGGCGUGUCAAUGUGAGGUGAUGUCAUUUGUAAAGGGGUGU